UGAAGACAUAUUUUUUCCUGAGUAUCAUCUUAGACACUUCUAUAGUAAAGAAGAAGAAAAAGAAAAACUAGAAAGACCUUUAAGUCCUGUGACCAAGAACUUUUAUCUGCAAAGAAUUAUGAUUGGAGAAUUAUGCUUUCAUAAACCACUCACCAAUCCAAUCAAAAGGUAAUGAAGGGAUAUCAAUGAAGAAAGGACAAUGUUCAGACUUAGUGAAAUCUGCAAAUACUCCAACAAGAUGCUAAACUAUAUUAGAGAAUGCAUGAACAAGAAGAAAGAGUAACUAAUGGUCAAAGGACGUGCCAAGAUAGAUCUCAUGAAGCAAAUUGAACAAAAACUUGAUGAAUUAAUUGAGGCAAGAGAGAUCUAAAAAGCUCUAUACAAGGAAUACAACAAACCAAUUCCACAAAACAAGAAGCCGUAGAAACGAGAUCUUUACCACCUUGCUUAAAAAACAUUUUAAAGUCCUGUACUUUUGGAUUUUGGUUGGAUAAAAUAUUACUAUUCAGUUGGUGUAUUUUUAAAAGUUUCUUUUGAUUGUUAUGUUGCAGUUUGUUUGUCAUAAUUGUCAUUUUACUUACAA